rnacentral:rRNA from 1 species
GUUCGGACCUCCAAUCAAGCAA